AGCGAACGCUGGCGGCAGGCUUAACACAUGCAAGUCGAGCGGGCGUAGCAAUACGUCAGCGGCAGACGGGUGAGUAACGCGUGGGAACGUACCUUUUGGUUCGGAACAACACAGGGAAACUUGUGCUAAUACCGGAUAAGCCCUUACGGGGAAAGAUUUAUCGCCGAAAGAUCGGCCCGCGUCUGAUUAGCUAGUUGGUGAGGUAACGGCUCACCAAGGCGACGAUCAGUAGCUGGUCUGAGAGGAUGAUCAGCCACAUUGGGACUGAGACACGGCCCAAACUCCUACGGGAGGCAGCAGUGGGGAAUAUUGGACAAUGGGCGCAAGCCUGAUCCAGCCAUGCCGCGUGAGUGAUGAAGGCCCUAGGGUUGUAAAGCUCUUUUGUGCGGGAAGAUAAUGACGGUACCGCAAGAAUAAGCCCCGGCUAACUUCGUGCCAGCAGCCGCGGUAAUACGAAGGGGGCUAGCGUUGCUCGGAAUCACUGGGCGUAAAGGGUGCGUAGGCGGGUCUUUAAGUCAGGGGUGAAAUCCUGGAGCUCAACUCCAGAACUGCCUUUGAUACUGAAGAUCUUGAGUUCGGGAGAGGUGAGUGGAACUGCGAGUGUAGAGGUGAAAUUCGUAGAUAUUCGCAAGAACACCAGUGGCGAAGGCGGCUCACUGGCCCGAUACUGACGCUGAGGCACGAAAGCGUGGGGAGCAAACAGG
rnacentral:rRNA from 1 species